GGGGCUGAUUCUGGAUUCGACGGGAUUUGCGAAACCCAAGGUGCAUGCCGAGGGGCGGUUGGCCUCGUAAAAAGCCGCAAAAAAUAGUCGCAAACGACGAAAAAAAAAAAAAAAAAAAAAAAAAAGA
rnacentral:tmRNA from 1 species